GUUGAAUAAAUCUAAAAACUGAUAACCCUAUGCUCAGCUUUUAUUUACAUUUUGAAACGUCAGAAAACUCAUAUCACAACAAACGGCUUCGAUGGUUCAGUUUUCUCUUGAAAGUUGGAAUUUCAGCUAGGAAUUAUCCGAGGAUAAUCGUAAGAAAUGAGGCAGCUGUAGAUUACUAGUUCUACAUUAUUAAA